GCCGCCGUCGGAUUGAUCCGAUUUGCGCGCGAUUUGGUGAGUAAUCUCACUAAUCCUGGAUUAGUUGGCUAAUUAUGCUUAAGGUUGGUUUAGUUUUAAUUAAUUAUGUUUAGGUUGUUAGAUUUAAAUAAAUUAGCAAUUAUUAGUCAAUUGUGAUGUGAUUUAGAUAAAUUGAUUGUGCAAUUAACAAGUAGACGUGGUCUACUAAUUAUUGGAAGUGCCUCGGGAUUUUUCCCGACCCUUAGUGGGCUCCAAUUAGGCUUUUCGGGCCUAAGUGGAUUUUUUAGUAUUUAAAUAUUAAUUUUCGGAAUUAAAUUAAAUAAUUAUUUAUUUUCCGAAAAUUCAACUGAGAUGGCUCGGGAUCGGAAAAUUAUGCUGAUGGCCGUGGUGAAGUCCGUUUAUUUAAUCGGGCUUUAUUUUGAGCUAAAUUGAAUUUUUAAUAUUAAUUAUUUAAUUUUCGAAAUUAAUUAUUUAAUUAAUUAUUUUUCAGAAAUUAAGAUGUUGAUGACCGACGACCGAAAUCUCGUGCUGAUUGUCGUGGCGCAGUCCGUUUAUUCAUUUGAGCUCUACGUUGUAUGGAAUUGAAUAAAUUGUGAUAUUUUAGUGAUUUACCCUAAAUUGAUUGGAAUCGAUUGAGAUUGAAUUAUUGAUUGGUGAUUGGUCAAGUAUGUUAUUCAGCAUUUAUAAUGCUUUGUUGAGUUGAUUUAAUUAUUUGAAUGAGAAAUCGUUGGGCAUUGGUUGCCGGUAUUGAAAGAAGAUUGGUAACCCUUUGAAAGAGGACACGUGGGCUCGGUGAAUUGGAAUGUCACCUGGAAAAUGCACGUGAGUUCAGUGGUUGAAUAUGUCACCUUGGCGAAGAGGUCGCCUGAGAGAAUGCACGUGGCUCGGAGACUCGGUAUGUCGUCCUGGAGAAUGCACGUGGCUCGGUGACAGAGUUUGGCAUCUAAAAGGGCACGUGGCUCGGUCAUCUGAUGCGUCACUUUGGUAAGCGAGUACCUUAGAGAAUGCACGUGGGCCCAGGCAUCUAAAAGGACACGUGGCUCGGUGAUCUGAUGCGUCACUUUGGUAAGCGAGUACCUUAGAGAAUGCACGUGGGCCCAGGCAUCUAAAAGGACACGUGGCUCGGUGAUCUGAUGCGUCACUUUGGUAAGCGAGUACCUUAGAGAAUGCACGUGGGUCCAGUAUUCGGAAUGGCAUCUAAAAGGGCACGUGGCUCGGUGAUUUGAUGCGUCACUUUGGUAAGCGAGUACCUUAGAGAAUGCACGUGGGCCCGGGCAUCGUAAAAAGGACACGUGGCUCGGUGGCUUGAUGUACCACCUUGGCGAAGAGGUCGCCUUAGAGAAUGCACGUGGGUCCGAGGUUUGAGGCACGUGUCUCGGAGACUUGGAAGGUCGUCCUGGAUAAUGCACGUGUCUCGGAGACUUGGAAGGUCGUCCUGGAUAAUGCACGUGGCCUAGCUUUUAAAUAUCCCACAGUGGGGAUUGAAUUGUAUGACAUGUAAUCGACUAGUUCGAUUAGUUUGAAGCGAAUGGCUGUUUAUUGUGAAUUGUGUACUGACUUGCAGGUGGGAUUAGAGGCCAAGGUAAGUCCUCUGCCCUGUGCGUGUUUAGGCAGCCUUUAGUAUAUUGGUUUACUAAUCGGGCUUAGUGGGGUAGAACUCGCUGAGACGUAGUCUCAUCCCAGUUUGGGGAAAAACCAUUUCAGGACCCCGCUGAAGAGCUGUGGAGGAGGAAUCCGAGAAGGAGAACUCGGAGGUGAGAUCUGAAGAGAAGGAUUUUUGGAAGAAGAAGAUAGUCUCGAGAGGGGCCUUGAGUACGGUCUGGAUGGAUUGAGAUCCUAUCUUCUUUUGAGAUCUCCUUUUUGAUGUGAAUAGUUUUGAAGUGAUUUAUGGUUUGUAUAAAAGUUUGGUUAUAAAUUUCAAUAUGAAAAAUAUGGCCCUGCUUUUCUAUCCCAUCAUUUUAUUGUCUGGGGAUUUUAACUGCUUCCGCAUGUGCUU
rnacentral:lncRNA from 1 species